CGUGAGUAACCUCGCCCCGGACUCUGGGAUAACUAGGUUAGGAAACAGCUGCUAAUACCGGAUACGAGACGGAGAGGCUUCUCUACCGUCUGGAAAGUUCUUCGGUCCGGGAUGGACUCGCGGCCUAUCAGCUAGUUGGUGAGGUAACGGCUCACCAAGGCGACGACGGGUAGCCGGCCUGAGAGGGCGACCGGCCACACUGGGACUGAGACACGGCCCAGACUCCUACGGGAGGCAGCAGUGGGGAAUAUUGCACAAUGGGCGAAAGCCUGAUGCAGCGACGCCGCGUGAGGGAUGACGGCCUUCGGGUUGUAAACCUCUUUCAGCAGGGAAGAAGCGCAAGUGACGGUACCUGCAGAAGAAGCACCGGCUAACUACGUG
rnacentral:rRNA from 1 species